rnacentral:rRNA from 1 species
GACGAACCGUGCGAACGUUAUUCGGAACCACUGGGCUUAAAGGGCGCGUAGACGGGCGACCGCGUCGAUGGCUGAAAGCCCCCGGCUCAACCGGGGAACGGGCCUCGAUACGGGUCGCCUCGAGGGGAGGAGGGGGACCUGGAACUGCCGGUGGAGCGGUGAAAUGCGUUGAGAUCGGCAGGAACGCCUGUGGCGAAAGCGAGGUCCUGGACUCCUACUGACGUUGAGGCGCGAAAGCCAGGGGAGCGAACGGG